CCUACGGGGGGCAGCAGUAGGGAAUAUUGCUCAAUGGGGGAAACCCUGAAGCAGCAACGCCGCGUGGAGGAUGAAGGUUUUAGGAUUGUAAACUCCUUUUGUUAGAGAAGAUAAUGACGGUAUCUAACGAAUAAGCACCGGCUAACUCAGUGCCAGCAGCCGCGGUAAUACGGAGGGUGCAAGCGUUACUCGGAAUCACUGGGCGUAAAGAGCGAGUAGGCGGGAUAGCAAGUCAGAUGUGAAAUCCUAUGGCUUAACCAUAGAACUGCAUUUGAAACUGUUAUUCUAGAGUAUGGGAGAGGUAGGAGGAAUUCGUGGGGUAGGGGUAAAAUCCGUAGAUAUCAAGAGGAAUACUCAUUGCGAAGGCGACCUACUAGAACAUAACUGACGCUCAUGCGCGAAAGCGUGGGGAUCAAACAGGAUUAGAUACCCUUGUAGUC
rnacentral:rRNA from 1 species